GUUUAAACUGCUACAAAUCAGAAGAAAAAAACACUUACAAACAACUCUUCCACUAUAGGUUCUACAAACUAGCAGCUGAUAGAACUUCCGUAGAGUGCAGCCAGUGAGUGAUUCACCAACAAAAGUGGCUAAUGCUGUCACAUUUAUAGUGCUGAAAAGCAAGGACAGAAGUCUCCAAUGAG